AAUCAACGCUGGCGGCGUGCUUAACACAUGCAAGUCGAGCGGUAAGGCCCUUUCGGGGGUACACGAGCGGCGAACGGGUGAGUAACACGUGGGUGACCUGCCCUCAGCUCUGGGAUAAGCCUGGGAAACCGGGUCUAAUACCGGAUAUGACUCCAUGACGCAUGUUGUGGGGUGGGAAGCCUUGUGCGGCUGAGGAUGGGCCCGCGGCCUAUCAGCUUGUUGGUGGGGUGANGGCCUACCAAGGCGACGACGGGUAGCCGGCCUGAGAGGGCGACCGGCCACACUGGGACUGAGACACGGCCCAGACUCCUACGGGAGGCAGCAGUGGGGAAUCUUGCGCAAUGGGCGAAAGCCUGACGCAGCGACGCCGCGU
rnacentral:rRNA from 1 species